UCCGCUCAUGAUCGCGUCGGUGCCCCGAGAGGGGCUGAAAACGGGAAUAUGGUGCGGGCCGCCCGGCCCAAAUCCAUAGCUGUCCCUGCAACUGUAAGCGGCGAGCGCGAUGCACUGGCCCGGAUCCGUCCGGGCGGCCACUGGCGGAUGCCAACAUCCGCUGGGAAGGCGUGCAUCAAGCCCUGACCCGUGAGCCAGGAGACCUGCCGGCGUCGUGGUCGCUCU
rnacentral:ncRNA from 1 species